rnacentral:lncRNA from 1 species
AAAAUUCGUUAAUUAAGAAACGUUUAUAUUUUAUACACUUAAAAGUGUUUUUAUUCUAGCUCACCCCAAUCACUUUUUGUGUAUAUAUAUUACUUUACCCUUAAUGACAUUAUAAUAAAGAAUAAAUAAAAGGAAAAAUAAAAUUAAAAGAAAAUAUAAUUAAAAAUUCUGGAAGAAAAGAAAACGUAAGAAAUAUUCACAAACCACCCAAACCCCCACCGCCCUACCCCUACCCAUCCCCGAAUCCAUUUUCCCCCAAAUUUGCUUAUGGAAUUACACACUAUUGCAGUCAAUACAUUUUUGUCUUACACCGCGCUCAAGCUCCUCCA